AGCCUCUUGCGUGCAUGUCGCUGACCCGUGGGAAGGACUGGAAGCCAUCUGGACGCCUCUCACGGCCGGGCUCCUUCCUUGUAUUUCCGGCGCCGCCGCGGGCGAAUCUGGAGGCGCCGUUCCCUAGAUUGUAAAAAUGGGGAGAAUGGGCGUUCUUGCCAGGCCGGACCUCCCUUCUCAGGAUCAUUGAGUGCUCUGCUCAGAAAAUGGAGUCCAGGUUACCUUGUGAGCCCCUAAGCACUGUAAAAAUGGUGGUGGUGUUGAAAAUCGGGUGUAGAAGCGCCAGGGAUGGAAAGCUUAAAUGUAUUGAAGGCUUGAGAGAACACAGGUGAAUCAGAAGGUGCACACAUUCUUCCUUGUUCAUUUUUAAGCAGUUCCAAAGCUGCUGUUGAUGAUGCCUGAAGCUGCUUUGGAGGCAGAAAACCAAGAGUGAGAUCAAGAAUUGUUCUCUAAUGAUCUUGCUUCACCAUGGCUACAAAUAUGGAGGGGCUGGUUCAGCACAGAGUGGGGACCCAGCAGGUGGCUGAGGUACCACGUACACAGACUUCUCGGCCAGAAUCUCCAGGGAUGACCAGCCCCUCCCCACGCAUCCAGAUAAUCUCCACGGACUCUGCAGUAGCCUCACCUCAGCGCAUCCAGAUUGUGACAGACCAGCAGACAGGACAGAAGAUCCAAAUAGUCACCGCAGUGGACACCUCUGGAUCCCCCAAGCAGCAGUUCAUCUUGACCAGCCCUGAUGGAGCUGGAACUGGGAAGGUGAUCCUGGCUUCCCCAGAGACAUCCAGUGCCAAGCAGCUCAUAUUCACCACCUCAGACAACCUUGUCCCUGGCAGGAUCCAGAUCGUCACAGACUCUGCUUCUGUGGAGCGUUUGCUUGGGAAGGCUGAGGUUCAGCGGCCCCAGGUGGUAGAGUACUGUGUGGUCUGUGGGGACAAAGCCUCUGGCCGUCACUAUGGAGCUGUCAGUUGUGAAGGCUGCAAAGGUUUCUUCAAAAGGAGUGUAAGGAAAAAUUUAACCUACAGCUGCCGGAGCAACCAAGACUGCAUCAUCAAUAAGCACCACCGGAAUCGCUGUCAGUUUUGCCGGCUGAAAAAAUGCUUAGAGAUGGGCAUGAAAAUGGAAUCUGUACAGAGUGAACGGAAGCCCUUUGAUGUACAGCGGGAGAAACCAAGCAAUUGUGCAGCUUCAACUGAGAAAAUCUAUAUCCGGAAAGACCUGAGAAGUCCUCUGAUUGCCACUCCCACAUUUGUGGCAGAUAAAGAUGGAGCAAGACAAACAGGUCUUCUUGAUCCAGGGAUGCUUGUGAACAUCCAGCAACCUUUGAUACGUGAGGAUGGUACUGUUCUUCUGGCCACAGACUCCAAGGCUGAAACAAGCCAGGGAGCUCUGGGCACACUAGCAAAUGUAGUAACCUCCCUUGCCAACCUAAGUGAAUCCCUUAACAAUGGUGACACUUCGGAAAUGCAACCAGAGGACCAGUCUGCAAGUGAGAUUACUAGGGCAUUUGAUACCUUAGCUAAAGCACUUAAUACUACAGACAGCUCCUCGCCUCCAAGCCUGGCAGAUGGGAUAGACACCAGUGGAGGAGGAAGCAUCCAUGUCAUCAGCAGAGACCAAUCUACACCCAUUAUUGAGGUUGAAGGCCCUCUCCUUUCAGACACUCAUGUCACAUUUAAGCUAACAAUGCCCAGCCCAAUGCCAGAGUACCUCAAUGUGCACUACAUCUGUGAGUCUGCAUCCCGCCUGCUUUUCCUCUCCAUGCACUGGGCCAGGUCAAUCCCAGCUUUUCAGGCACUUGGGCAGGACUGCAAUACCAGCCUGGUACGGGCCUGUUGGAAUGAGCUCUUCACCCUCGGCCUGGCCCAGUGUGCCCAGGUCAUGAGUCUGUCCACUAUCCUGGCCGCCAUCGUCAACCACCUGCAGAACAGCAUCCAGGAAGAUAAACUUUCUGGUGACCGGAUAAAGCAAGUCAUGGAGCACAUCUGGAAACUUCAGGAGUUCUGUAACAGUAUGGCAAAGCUGGAUAUAGACGGCUAUGAGUAUGCAUACCUUAAAGCCAUAGUUCUCUUUAGCCCGGAUCAUCCAGGUUUGACUAGCACAAGCCAGAUUGAAAAGUUCCAAGAAAAGGCACAGAUGGAGUUGCAGGACUAUGUUCAGAAAACCUACUCAGAAGACACCUACCGAUUGGCCCGGAUUCUUGUCCGCCUGCCAGCACUCAGGCUGAUGAGCUCCAACAUAACAGAAGAACUUUUUUUCACUGGUCUCAUUGGCAAUGUUUCGAUAGACAGCAUAAUUCCCUACAUCCUCAAGAUGGAGACGGCAGAGUACAAUGGCCAGAUCACCGGAGCCAGUCUAUAGUGCACACCAACACCUGCUGAGGAGCAAAAAUGGCCUCCCGGGACCGCUCAGAGAAAAAGAAAAUGGAAGUAGUAUUUUGAUUGGUUAAAAGAAGCGCAAAGUCAAGAUUAUUUAAAGGGAUCCUAAGCAGAUAUUUGGGCUCAACUUUUCCAAGGCUUUCAAACUCUAGAUUUAGUGAGACCAAACCUCUACCUGCUGAAUCUCAGUGAAAUAAGGUAGGAGUUAAAUUCUUUGCCAUGUAGCUAUUCACACAUACCCUUCUGCUGGCUUAGCCAGUCCUCAAUGAGGGAGGCUACACUGGCUAAGGGAGAUGGGGACAGACAUACAAUGUUUUGUGGCUUUUUUCCAGUGGAUAAUGUUGAAGUUAUGUGUCGUUGAAAUUUUGGAGUUCUUUAUAUAUAAUAAAAAACAGGACAGGAAGAGACUUAGAAAAAGACCAAAUUACUCAUGCAAAUACUACUUUCCAAGUUAUUCCUGGAGAGUAUUUUUAAGGCAGUAUGUUACCGUCCUUCUAAUUUGAGAUUUUCGUGUUGGGAUUACGUUAUUUAUUGUCUAAUCUCUGUGGUUGGGUGGUUUUGUUUGUUUGUUUGGUUUUUAUAUUUAAUUUCAGGUGUAGUCACUUGUAAGAUGUAUUAUAUAAUAUCCCUCAAGAGGGAUUUUCUAGCUUGUCAGUGUCAGUAUUAAAUGUGGGCUGUUUUGAGGCAGUUGCCACCAGUCAUGGUGAUAGCAAUGGACAUGUCUACCCUGGGCUCCCCAGUGUGUAGCAACACACUAUAGCUUACUUAGCAGUUUUGCUUGUUUUAGGGGCAGCCAAAAAUUAGAAGGGCUCUGGCUGUAUCUAGUGCUUUUAUUCUGGGAAAAUCACAUCCUAAUCCUUUGGGGUAGUUUUCAGCAGAGUAGUCUCCCUCCCUGCCUGCACGCUGCCUGACAAGCAGCCCUUGGCUGCGGAUCCAAGUACCGUGACCUGGUUAGAGUCUGGAGGCACGUGGCCUCCUGUGCAGUGGGAAUGGCUUUAUGUGCAGUGGGCUAUAGGUGGGACAUUUGAACCGUGCCCUGAGCCCAGAUCAAGGAAAAUGUCAUCUUCUGACAUUCACCUUUAACUUGAGAGGCGAGUGCCCUUCAGGUCCCGGAAAGUCUGAGCAGGCAGGGCAGGUGACCCAGCUUUUGUCCCAUGUCCAUUCCCUAGAUUGCGCGCCUCUUUGACAAAAUUAACUUGGAUGUGAGUUUGUGUUAUAAUUGAAGAGUGGGUUUGGAUCUCGUACCACAGGGCUUGGCCUCCCCAUGUGCCUCCCACCAGCGGGGCACAGCUGUGUCUAGCCCUGAGCUCCCCUCAGCACAUUGUGCGUGUACAGAUUACCGACUUGUAUGACUAAAUGAAUGUACAUGUGUUUAUAUCUUCUAUAUAUGUACAGUGUAUAUAUAUAGUGUGUAUGUGUACAUAGGUGUAUAUUAUGUAUACAGACAUGUAGCCACGUAUCCAAACUCUCCUUAAGUUUUAAAGAGAAUCUAUGAUAAGAGUUACUAAAGUAAAUUGAGGUGGGUAUUCCAAGAUCCUUCAGCAGGAUGGGUUUGCCACAUUUUUAACUCCAUUUUCCUUUGGGUGCGUCUGGCUGAGGAAGGCCAUGACGUUAAAUGUUCACUUUGUACCAGGGAAAGUUCCAGACAGGAAGGUCCUAACAGAAUGACAUUACUAUGUAUUCCUAGGGUGAGACAAGGGCUAAGAAACUGGAAGACAGUUAUCCUAAAUGUCCAAAAACUAGGUGGGGAUUUUUAACCUGGUUGUCACACCCCUCUUUAUAGCCUAACUGGAAGGAACUUGGAAGGUCAAGCAGUGGGCCUUCCCUGGACUCAUCGUCAUGUAGUCAGUUCCAGAACGGUCCGUGUCAUGGGGCCUGGCUCCCAAUUGUCCCCACUUGCUCUGGACUCAACAGAUUCCCAACGCAAGUUGGGGGGGGGGGGGGGGGGCACAACCAACCAAGUAUUCUUUAAAAAUAAGCAUAAUUGUUGAUGGCUAACUUUAUGGCAUAAGUUACAAAUCUUAAAUUAAUUCUCCAACUAUAGCAUGCAAAUGAAGUCUACUGACUUUUUCUAAAUUGAUUUUAAAAUCUCAGAUAAAAAUUGCAUUUUAAUAUGGUUAUGCAUGCCCUUAAAGCUACAGAUGCCUAAUUUUUCUUGUCCAGCUCUACUCUGGUGAGUUUCCCCCCUAACUUGGGCUUUAAUCUGAAACACAGCACUCGGGAGCCAGGCCCCAGCCCACCUGUAGUUGCUCAUGGACCUGACUGAUGGGAAGGGUGAAAGCUGGCCUGCUGAAAGAGAUCACUGGAUAACGGCAAAAACAUAAUCCACAGGUUUUCUUUUUUUAAUCUGUUGAAAUGUUUGAAAACACUUCAUUGAGACCAUAGUACUCAGUGCCUUUUGUGAGACUGGGCCACUCAGCCUCCAGCUUCCCCAUCUGUGAUAUAAAGCUCCCGCUGCUUCACUGGCCGCCCAGCAGCGAUUGUCACCUUUCCCAUGUCCUUGCCUGUCGUGACAAUCACUAUUGAAGGUAGCUUUCCAAUUCAGAUAAUACAAAUGGAAGCUUUCCAGUCUCUAAGUGAGUCUUUA